rnacentral:rRNA from 1 species
GACGAACGCUGGCGGCGUGCCUAAUACAUGCAAGUCGAACGGUUUAGUUCCAAGAGGCUUGCCUUUUGGAACUAGACAGUGGCGGACGGGUGAGUAACACGUAGGCAACCUAUCUGUCAAACCGGGAUAACCUCGGGAAACCUAAGCUAAACCCGGAUAAGCUCCUUUUUCGCUUGAAGGGGGAGUGAAAAGGUCCGACCUGAUGACAGAUGGGCCUGCGGCGCAUUAGCUAGUAGGUAGGGUAACGGCCUACCGAGGCGAUGAUGCGUAGCCGACCUGAGAGGGCGUACGGCCACAAUGGGACUGAGAUACGGCCCAGACUCCUACGGGAGGCAGCAGUAGGGAAUCUUCGGCAAGGGGCGAAAGCCUGACCGAGCAACGCCGCGUGAAUGAGGAAGGCCUUCGGGUUGUAAAACUCUGUUGUUUGGGAAGAAGGGAAAGGGUAGGACCCUUAGGUGACGGUACCAAACGAGAAAGCCCCGGCUAACUACGUG